rnacentral:rRNA from 1 species
UACGUAGGGGGCAAGCGUUGUCCGGAUUUAUUGGGCGUAAAGAGCGUGUAGGCGGCUUUGCAAGUCCGUUGUGAAAACUCGAGGCUCAACCUCGAGACGCCGGUGGAAACUGCAAAGCUAGAGUCCGGAAGAGGAGAGUGGAAUUCCUGGUGGUAGCGGUGAAAUGCGCAGAUAUCAGGAGGAACACCGGUGGCGAAGGCGGGUCUCUGGGCAGUAACUGACGCUGAGGAGCGAAAGCGUGGGGAGCGAACAGG